rnacentral:rRNA from 1 species
GGAUUAGAUACCCUGGUAGUCCACGCCGUAAACGAUGUGUGCUAGCUGUUGGGACUUUAAGUCUCAGUGGCGCAGCUAACGCAUUAAGCACACCGCCUGGGGAGUACGGUCGCAAGAUUAAAACUCAAAGGAAUUGACGGGGACCCGCACAAGCGGUGGAGCAUGUUGUUUAAUUCGAAGCAACGCGAAGAACCUUACCCACACUUGACAUCCUUCUUGGGACUUUCAGAGAUGAUUGUCUUCGGUUCGGCCGGGGAAGUGACAGGUGCUGCAUGGCUGUCGUCAGCUCGUGCCG